rfam:Mycobacterium asiaticum strain 1245139.5 contig_119, whole genome shotgun sequence.
GCCAGCAAGGUGCAACAAUGUCACGCGUAAGGCAAUGACGACGUAGGAAGCCGGUGUGAAUCCGGCGCGGUCCCGCCACUGUCAUCGGGGAGCGAACCUCAUCAGCCACGGCGCGAGCUGGAAGGCGAGGGGAGCUGCGAUCCGAGAGCCAGGAUACUCGCGUCAUCGCGUCCUGCGGC